GGAGGAUCCGAGCGUUAUCCGGAUUUAUUGGGUUUAAAGGGAGCGUAGGUGGACUGGUAAGUCAGUUGUGAAAGUUUGCGGCUCAACCGUAAAAUUGCAGUUGAUACUGUCAGUCUUGAGUACAGUAGAGGUGGGCGGAAUUCGUGGUGUAGCGGUGAAAUGCUUAGAUAUCACGAAGAGCUCCGAUUGCGAAGGCAGCUCACUGGACUGCAACUGACACUGAUGCUCGAAAGUGUGGGUAUCAAACAGGAUUAGAUACCCUGGUAGUCCACACAGUAAACGAUGAAUACUCGCUGUUUGCGAUAUACAGUAAGCGGCCAAGCGAAAGCAUUAAGUAUUCCACCUGGGGAGUACGCCGGCAACGGUGAAACUCAAAGGAAUUGACGG
rnacentral:rRNA from 1 species